rnacentral:rRNA from 1 species
GAGUUUGAUCCUGGCUCAGGAUGAACGCUGGCGGCGUGCUUAACACAUGCAAGUCGAGCGAAGCGCUUAAGUUUGAUUCUUCGGAUGAAGACUUUUGUGACUGAGCGGCGGACGGGUGAGUAACGCGUGGGUAACCUGCCUCAUACAGGGGGAUAACAGUUAGAAAUGACUGCUAAUACCGCAUAAGACCACGGUACCGCAUGGUACAGUGGUAAAAACUCCGGUGGUAUGAGAUGGACCCGCGUCUGAUUAGGUAGUUGGUGGGGUAACGGCCUACCAAGCCGACGAUCAGUAGCCGACCUGAGAGGGUGACCGGCCACAUUGGGACUGAGACACGGCCCAGACUCCUACGGGAGGCAGCAGUGGGGAAUAUUGCACAAUGGAGGAAACUCUGAUGCAGCGACGCCGCGUGAAGGAUGAAGUAUUUCGGUAUGUAAACUUCUAUCAGCAGGGAAGAAAAUGACGGUACCUGACUAAGAAGCCCCGGCUAACUACGUGCCAGCCGCCGCGGUAAUUC